GAUGAACGCUGGCGGCGUGCCUAAUACAUGCAAGUAGAACGCUGAAGGAGGAGCUUGCUCUUCUGGAUGAGUUGCGAACGGGUGAGUAACGCGUAGGUAACCUGCCUGGUAGCGGGGGAUAACUAUUGGAAACGAUAGCUAAUACCGCAUGACAACAGUUAUUGCAUGAUAACUGUUUAAAAGGGGCAACUGCUCCACUACCAGAUGGACCUGCGUUGUAUUAGCUAGUUGGUGAGGUAACGGCUCACCAAGGCGACGAUACAUAGCCGACCUGAGAGGGUGAUCGGCCAAACUGGGACUGAGACACGGCCCAGAAUGCUACGGGAGGCAGCAGUAGGGAAUCUUCGGCAAUGGACGGAAGUCUGACCGAGCAACGCCGCGUGAGUGAAGAAGGGUUUCGGAUCGUAAAGCUCUGUUGUAAGAGAAGAACGAGUGUGAGAGUGGAAAGUUCACACUGUGACGGUAUCUUACCAGAAAGGGACGGCUAACUACGUG
rnacentral:rRNA from 1 species